CAAACUUCUGAGCUGGAAGCUACAAAUGCAUCAGCUCACCCAAACAGCCUUUGAAGCCGAUCCACCAGCAGCUGGACUGCUGAGGUGCUCAUGCUUCCCAGUGCAAUUCAGGGGAUGCUUGCCUUGUGACACAGGAGGAAGGAUGAGGUCUCUCACCGUUGGCACCUCAUGACUGGGCACCAUUUGUUGAAACUGUCCAGUCAGCAAAUUCGUACCAGCCAUCAAGCGAGUGAACGUGUUGGAGACUUGUAACACAAAUACAAAGAUUGGUAUGGAUGCGUGUGGGGAAACACCAGAAGGAAGAGCA
rnacentral:lncRNA from 1 species